rnacentral:rRNA from 1 species
UACGUAGGGGGCAAGCGUUGUCCGGAAUCAUUGGGCGUAAAGAGCGCGUAGGCGGCCCUGUAAGUCCGCUGUGAAAGUCAAGGGCUCAACCCUGGGAUGCCGGUCGAUACUGCCGGACUAGAGUUCGGAAGAGGCGAGUGGAAUUCCCGGUGUAGCGGUGAAAUGCGCAGAUAUCGGGAGGAACACCUAUGGCGAAGGCAGCUCGCUGGGACGUUACUGACGCUGGAGACGCGAAAGCGUGGGGGAGCAAACAGG